UCGCAUUUAAUUAAGGGCAGAUGGUGGAUGCCUUGGGUAGAAGAGGCGACGAAGGACGUGGUGUGGCUGCGAAAAGCUUCGGGGAGCCGCUUAACAGGCUUUGAUCCGGAGAUCUCCGAAUGAGGAAACUCUAUUGAGACAAAUCUCAAUAACUUCCGACUUUAAGUCGGACUGAGCGAACCUGGGGAAGUAAAACAUUUCAGUACCCAGAGGAAAAGAAAACAAGAUAACACAUUUCACUAUCGCAACUCGUGACGAUUUCAAAUCAGACAUUUCGCGAUAGUGAAGUGAGCUAUUCAUUCCCUAAGUAGCGGCGAGCGAAAGGGGAAGAGCCCAAACCACUUGUGCUUCGCACAAGAGAUUUAAGAAUAAUGAUUUAAGAUUUAAGAAAAACUCUUAAUUCCUGAAUCGUAAAUCUUGAUUCUCUCGCGCGGAGUGCGAGAUGGGGUUGCGGGGCCAGAUAACAACAUUUGUUUUUUUGGUAGAAAAAUGUUCUGGAAAGAACAACCAAAGAAGGUGAUAGUCCUGUACUCGAAACUUAAAAAACAAAUCAAUUUGGUUCCCAAGUACCCCGACAAACGAGAGCGUCGGGGGAAUCCGCGAGAACUAUACUCGCAAGGCUAAAUACUCUUCUACACCGAUAGUGAACUAGUACCGUGAGGGAAAGGUGAAAAGAACCCUGGUUAAGGGAGUGAAAUAGAAACUGAAACCAUUAUGCCUACAAGGACUCGGAGCUCUGCCGCAAGGCGGGGUGACGGGGUGCCUAUUGAAGAAUGAGCCAACGAGUUUUUCUUAAUGCUUAAUUUAAUCUCCCGUAGGGAGAGAAGGUAUAGCGAAAGCAAGUGUUAAUAGCGCGCCGUAAAUAUGUUCUCAAAGCUUUGAGCAUAUUUACACAGCGUUAAGAAAAGACCCGAAGCCAGGCGAGCUACUCUUGGACAGGAUGAGUCCUUCCGAAAGGUUGGAGGAGGUCCGAACCCGUUAGCUGUGCAACACUAUGGGAUGAUCUGAGAGUAGAAGUGAAAAGCUAAUCGCGCUUGGUAAUAGCUGGUUCUCCUCGAAAUAGCUUUAGGGCUAGCGGUUAUUUUAACUAAUCAUGGGGGUAGAGCACUGGUUGAGACUGUCAGGGAGAAAUCUCGCUGUCUCAGUCAAACUCCGAAUACUGUGAUUAUUGAUAACCAGUCAGACUGUGGGGUCUAAGCUCCAUGGUCAAAAGGGCAUGAACCCUGACUCCCAGCUAAGGUCCCUAAAUCCUUACUCAGUGUAAAAGGUAGUGAUCAGCCGAAGACAGGCAGGAGGUUGGCUUAGAAGUAGCCAUCCUUUAAAGAGUGUGUAACAACUCACU
rfam:Parcubacteria bacterium GW2011_GWA1_45_10 TW85_C0007, whole genome shotgun sequence.